GAUCCUGGCUCAGGACGAACGCUGGCGGCGCGCCUAACACAUGCAAGUCGAACGAGAGAGAGGGAGCUUGCUUCCUCAAUCGAGUGGCGAACGGGUGAGUAACGCGUGAGGAACCUGCCUCAAAGAGGGGGACAACAGUUGGAAACGACUGCUAAUACCGCAUAAGCCCACGACCCGGCAUCGGGUUGAGGGAAAAGGAGCAAUCCGCUUUGAGAUGGCCUCGCGUCCGAUUAGCUAGUUGGUGAGG
rnacentral:rRNA from 1 species